AGGUAAAGAGAGACAGACUGAGACAAUGAAGGAGAGAGGUAAAGAGAGACAGACUGAGACAAUGAAGGAGAGAGGUAAAGAGAGACAGACUGAGACAAUGAAGGAGAGAGGUAAAGAGAGAGAGAGACAGACUGAGACAAUGAAGGAGAGAGGUAAAGAGAGAGACAGACUGAGACAAUGAAGGAGAGAGGUAAGAGACAGACUGAGACAAUGAAGGAGAGGUAAAGAGAGACAGACUGAGACAAUGAAGGAGAGAGGUAAGAGACAGACUGAGACAAUGAAGGAGAGGUAAAGAGAGACAGACUGAGACAAUGAAGGAGAGAGGUAAAUAGAGACAGAUACAGGUGGUCUCCAUGUGUUCCUCUCUGACUUGUACAGUUUAUAUUACUGCUCAUAAACACUCACUGAUGAAA